AGAUCUUAACUAUUUUAAUUAUUUAAUUAUAUAUUUUACAUUCUUUUCUCACACUUCUUAACUACUUCAUUUGUUUUACGUGUUAACUAUAAUAAUUAUAAAUGUUUGGAUAAAUAAAUUUUGUAUAUGUUUACAUAAUCAAUUAGGUAUUGGUAUUCAUGUAUAUGUUCUGUUAAGGAUCAGUUCUUUUGGGUAUCGAGUUUUUUUGGGUUUUGAAAUUAUAUUCCGCUCGGAUAUUAUAAAUUUUUGGGUGGAGUUAAAGUCGGGUUUUCUAGGUCCGAGUGGAUUUGGUUCUGAUGUGUAAAAAUCUAAAACUAAACAAAACAAAACUUAUGUAUUUAAAAGUGCUAUUAAACCAUUUAUAAAAAAUAAAAUUAAAAA
rnacentral:lncRNA from 1 species